rnacentral:rRNA from 1 species
UACAGAGGGGGCAAGCGUUGUUCGGAAUUACUGGGCGUAAAGGGCGCGUAGGCGGCCUUCUAAGUCGAACGUGAAAUCCCUGGGCUCAACCCAGGAACUGCGUCCGAUACUGGAAGGCUUGAAUCCGGGAGAGGGAUGCGGAAUUCCAGGUGUAGCGGUGAAAUGCGUAGAUAUCAGGAGGAACACCGGUGGCGAAGGCGGAUCUCUGGGCC